rnacentral:rRNA from 1 species
AUUGAACGCUGGCGGCAGGCUUAACACAUGCAAGUCGAGCGGGGUGAUGGUGCUUGCACUAUCACUUAGCGGCGGACGGGUGAGUAAUGCUUAGGAAUCUGCCUAUUAGUGGGGGACAACAUCUCGAAAGGGAUGCUAAUACCGCAUACGUCCUACGGGAGAAAGCAGGGGAUCACUUGUGACCUUGCGCUAAUAGAUGAGCCUAAGUCGGAUUAGCUAGUUGGUGGGGUAAAGGCCUACCAAGGCGACGAUCUGUAGCGGGUCUGAGAGGAUGAUCCGCCAAACUGGGACGGAGACACGGCCCAGACUCCUACGGGAGGCAGCAGUGGGGAAUAUUGGACAAUGGGGGGAACCCUGAUCCAGCCAUGCCGCGUGUGUGAAGAAGGCCUUAUGGUUGUAAAGCACUUUAAGCGAGGAGGAGGCUCUUUUGGUUAAUACCCAAGACGAGUGGACGUUACUCGCAGAAUAAGCACCGGCUAACUCUGUGCCAGCCGCCGCGGUAA